AGUGAACGCUGGCGGCGUGCCUAAUACAUGCAAGUCGAACGUGAAAGUCCGUCGGGAUGAGUAAAGUGGCGCACGGGUGAGUAAUGGUUGAGAACGUGCCCUGAGGUGGGGAAGAACAGUUGGAAACGACUGCUAAUACCGCAUGGUGUCGCAAGACUAAAGGUGGGGAGCGUCGGACCUCCCGCCACAGGAUCGGCUGAACUCCCAUUAGCUAGUUGGCAGGGUAAUGGCUUACCAAGGCGACGAUGGGUACCUGGUCUGAGAGGAUGAUCAGAAACACUGGAACUGAGACACGGUCCAGACUCCUACGGGAGGCAGCAGUAGGGAAUAUUGCACAAUGGAGGAAACUCUGAUGCAGCAACGCCGCGUGAGUGAAGAAGGCCCUUGGGUCGUAAAGCUCUUUAGCCUGGAAAGAAGUGCCUGUAGGUGAACAAUCUGCGGGUGUGACGGUACCAGGAGAAUAAGGACCGG
rnacentral:rRNA from 1 species